CUCUGGGCAUAUACAAUUUAUUUAGUAUUUUGAAUGGACUCUUGUUAAUAGUACACAUACUAAAUUAAACUACAUUAAAACCUGUUUUACAACUAAAGGCUGAAUCAGAGACAGACAACUGAACAUACAAUCCCAAACACUGUCAUAGGUAUGGUAUAGUAAAAAAUAUUUUACAAGUAUUAUGAACAUGGACCAUUCACUAUCAUAAGUAUAUAUAGAUGUGCUGAACACAUAAGUAUCAAGAAAAUAAUAGUUAAGUUAAAGAACUAGAGGCUCUCAAGAGCCUGUGUGGCUCACCUUGGUCUAUGUGCAUACUAAACAAUGGACACAGAUAAAUUCAUGACAAAAUUGUGUUUUGGUGAUCAUGGUUUUGUAGAUCUUACUUUACUGAACAUUCUUGUUGCUACAAUUAUCUCUAUCUAUAAUGAACAUGGCCCAGUAAUUACAAUGGAAAAUAUUUUCUAAAAAUUUAUGAAAAUUGUUAAAAAUGACUAUAAAGGGCAAUAACUCCGGGGUCAAUUGACAAUUUUGGUCAUAUUGACUUAUUUGUAGAUAUAAUUUUGCUGAACAUUAUUGCUGUUUACAGUUUAUCUUUAUAAUCUAUAAUAAUAUUCUAAACAAUAACCAAAAUCUGCAAAAUUUCCUUAAAAUUACUAAUUCGGGGGCAGCAACCCAACGACAGGUUGUCCGAUUUGUCUGAAAAUUUCAGGGCAGAUAGUUCUUUACCCAACAAACAAGUUUACCCCCAUAUCAGAUUUGCUCUAAAUUCUUUAAUUUCAGAGAUAUAAACCAAAAUCUACAUUUACCCCUAUGUACUAUUUUUAGCCAUGGUGGCCAUCUUGGUUGGUUGGCAGGGUCACCAGACACAUUUUAAAAACUAGAUACCAAUGAUGAUUGUGGCCAAGUUUGGUUAAAUUUGGCCCAGUAGUUUCAGGAGAAGAUAUUUUUAAAAGAUUACUAAAAUUUUAGAAAAAUGGUUAAAAAUUGACUAUAAAGGGCAAUAACUACUUAAAAGGGGUAAACUGACAAUUUUGGUCGUGUUGACUUAUUUGUAGAUCUUACUUUGCUGAACAUUAUUGUUGUUUACAGUUUAUCUCUAUCUAUAAUAAUAUUCAAGAUAAUAACCAAACCAGAUGCUCUGCAGGGCGUAGCUUUAUACACCGCAGAGGUUGAACCUGAACGGUUGGGGCAAGUAUGGACACAACAUUCAAGCUGGAUUCAGCUCUAAAUUUGGAUUGUGAUUAAAUAGUUGACACAGCAUAGGUUUCUGACACAGAAUGAAUGUGUUCUAAUGAACUUAAAAAUUUUUGUUUUCUCUUAGAGCAAAUUCACUAUGCUGUUGAAUAUUAAUCCUCUCAAAAAAAUGUUUGAAGAAAUUUUCUUUUUUUAUUUAUGAAAUUUCAAAUGAGAAAAAUUGAACCCAAUUUUUUUAAUCACAUCCCCCUUUCCCUUAUUCCAAAACUAAUCUCAAUUAAAAUUUCUAAUGGAGUUUGCAACAAUAACUACUCAUUUAAAUACAUCAUAAAAUAUUAAGAUGUAAAAAAA
rnacentral:lncRNA from 1 species